UACGUAGGUCGCAAGCGUUGUCCGGAUUUACUGGGCGUAAAGAGCGCGCAGGCGGCUGGUCAAGUCCGAUGUGAAAUCUCCCGGCUCAACUGGGAAACUGCAUCGGAAACUGAUCGGCUUGAAGAUGGGAGAGGGUAGUGGAAUUCCCGGUGUAGUGGUGAAAUGCGCAGAUAUCGGGAGGAACACCAAUGGCGAAGGCAGCUCGCUGGGACGUUACUGACGCUGAGACGCGAAAGCGUGGGGAGCAAACAGG
rnacentral:rRNA from 1 species